rnacentral:tRNA from 1 species
GGGCGAGUGUCGGAAUGGUAGACGACCACGACUCAAAAUCGUGUGGCCGCAAGGCCGUGGAGGUUCGAGUCCUCUCUCGCCCA